GAAAUCAGUCGUAAUACCACUCUUACUAAGCUCCAAAGAACCACGCUAACCUAUGCCACACCGUAUACAAGCGCAACGUUGUUCGAAUUAUUGGCGUAAAGACCCGUAGCGCUUCGAAGUCAGUGUGAAAGCCUCGCUUAACGAAGAACGCAUCUGAUACUACAGGCUUGAGUACGGAGGGAAGUGAACUCUGGUGGACGGUGAAAUCGUAGAUAUCAGAAGGAACGCCGCGCGAAAGCGACUCUCUGGUCCGAAACUGACGCUGAGUGUGCGAAAGCUAGGGAGCAAACGGAUUAGAUACCCCGGUAGUCCUAGCCGUAAACGAUGGGCACUAAGUAGAGGGUUUUGAUUAUUUCUCUGCCGGAGCUAACGCAUUAAGUGCCCCGCCUGGGAGUACGGCCGCAAGGCUAAAACUCAAAAGAAUUGACGGGGGCUCGCACAAGCGGUGGAGCAUGUGGCUUAAUUCGAUGCAACGCGAAGAACCUUACCGGGGCUUGACAUGGUAGAAGUAGAAUCCUGAAAGGGUGAACGAUCGGUAUCCAGUCCGAAGCUAUCACAGGUGUUGCAUGGCUGUCGUCAGCUCGUGUCGUGAGACGUUGGGUUAAGUCCCCUAACGAGCGAAACCCUUGUCAUUUAGUUGCUAACGGGUAAUGCUGAGCACAUUUAGAGAGACUGCCGUCGUUAAGACGGAGGAAGGUGGGGACGACGUCAAGUCAUCAUGGCCCUUAUGUCCCGGGCUGCACACGUGCUACAAUGGUCGGUACAAAGGGAUGCUAAGUCGCGAGAUGGUGCGAAACCUAAUAAUAGCCGAUCUCAGUUCAGAUUGAGGCUGAAACUCGCCUCCAUGAAGUUGGAAUCGCUAGUAAUCGCGGAUCACGUMRCACGCGGAUGAAAA
rnacentral:rRNA from 1 species